UACGGAGGUUGCAAGCGUUGUUCGGAAUGACUGGGCGUAAAGGGAGCGCAGGCGGCCAAGUCAGUCUGAAGUGAAAGCCCGGGGCUUAACACCGGAAUAGCUUUGGAUACUGCCUGGCUUGAGUGUGCGAUAGGAAAGCGGAAUUCCAGGUGUAGCGGUGAAAUGCGUAGAUAUCUGGAGGAACACCGGUGGCGAAAGCGGCUUUCUGGCGCAUAACUGACGCUGAGGCUCGAAAGCGUGGGGAGCGAACGGGAUUAGAUACCCGGGUA
rnacentral:rRNA from 1 species